GCUAAGGAAAAGGGGGAAAAAAAUGAUGGACUGCGUUGUUUGGCGACCCCCGUGAAAUGGUCAUCGACCCCAAAUGGGGUCCUGACCCACAGGUUGAGAACCACUGUCAUAGAGUAAGAUAAGGCUUGGAACAAGAUAAGAUAGGCCCCACAGUAAUGAUUUAAAACAAAGCUUUAACUCAAACUGUUUCACUAUAUAGAGGAAUUAUUUGUAAUUUGCUAAGCUGUUGCAAUAUGUGCAAUAUGAAAUUGCAAAGUAGAUAGUUUUACAUAUAUAUUUAGAACAUGAGCAUUGUAACCGUGGGAAAAGAGGAACUGAAAGUAACAGAUGGAUGAAGGUUUCAGAUGUACACGGGUGUAUGUGGAAAUUGCUGGUCAGCACGAAAGAACAAGGAACAGAUUUUGCAAGAUAAUGAUUAUCUGUGGGUGGUCAUUAGAAUAAAAGUAUCAAAAUGAUAGCUCAAGACUAGCUCCGGGCCAUUGGCCUAUAGCUAUCCUUCGGAGUGCUGUGUCAGUGGACCUCAUUGCAAUGGGUUAUUAAUUAUGAAUCUCUGAGCAUAAAACUUUCCUCCUAAAGUACUUCAUGAAGAAUGGUGGAAGCAAGGGACAUUUCUCAAUGGGAAAAUGGAGAGGAGGAUUUGAUUUCUCAGAGUGGAGCAUAAAUGUGGACAAAGUUACACAAGGCCACACUGCUUGGACUCAUACAUAUAAUAAUCCAAUACAUUAUGAUAUUCUGGAAAUCUUCAGUAUGAAUGAAGGACAACACCAGCUAAAGAAGGGACAGCUAUGAUAUCACAUUGUGAUGUAUAUAAUGAAAAUAAUAAUGUAUGAUAAUGAUCCUACUUAUAUCUUCAUGGACUGCAGAAGGCAUCUUGUUACUGAGUUUAUUAAUCAACCUUUUAUUGCAAAUAAAGCAGCCUGAAAAUGUAUUGCAAAAAAGGAAUUUAUUUUAUUCCCUUUGGGCAUUUCUUUGUCUAAGCAGCUUUUCAUACCCUGUCUCUUUGAACCAUCACAAACUAUGUGUAUUAGUUCAGUGGAUUCACAAUUUGAUUUACUGAACAUCGCUGCUCUGGUAUUGUGGGUACACAUUACUCUUUAUAUGACUACGGGGUGUAUUUUUGGUCAUUUGUUAAUUAAUUAAUUAAAUUUAUAUAGCCACUCAUUUCAUGUGACAUGUGACUUUAGGCAGCACACACAGUUAGAACUAAGCAAUCAAAACAAUAAA